rnacentral:lncRNA from 1 species
CUUAGAUCAAGCCAGCCGCAUGACUAAACUGCUCACACCCGAGGGAUUGUUUCUGCGUGUUUGUCUGACUCUGCUGUAGUGAAGGAAACAGGUGCUGAAAAAGGGUCUCGCUAAGUUGUUAAAUUGCUUACCCUGGGCUCAAACUUGUGAUCCUCCUACUUCAGCCUUCCAGGGUGCUGGGAUGACAGUUGUUGGUGCCCUUGCUGAUGAAUUCUAUAAACGACACUCAUGGACACUGAUGAGAAUCUGAUAGUCCUGUGGAGAGCAAAGAGUUGAUCCUGAACCAGUGCUGGGGAUUGAAUCCAGGGCCUCACACAUGUUAAGCAUGGCUGUACCACUGGGCACACCCCAGCCCUGUCCUGGCUUCCCCACUACAGAGGCAGUGAUGAGGGGGAAGAGCCUGGAUGCUGUGUCACCCAGACAGACUCUCUCCUGCAACUUCUGCUGUCCUCCACUACACACAACUAGAGGCCAGGUGAGCCACCCUUCAUUCAUUCAGGAGGCAGCUGUGACUUGGGGCAUCUCUCACCCUCCCUCACCCUCGAUUUCUUCCUGCAGUAACAGCCUCUCAGGGCCAAUGGGAAAGUUAAAGAACCAGAACUGCAUAGCUGGUGCUCACGUGAAAACAAAGGGCCUGUCUGGCCUGGUUACUGUUCUCCGUCUCUGAAGGGCUCCAGGCAGUGCAGGCACAGCCUCCCACCUUGCUAAUGCUCUGCCAUUACUCCUUCCUGUGCUGUCCUCCCUCCGAGGGUUGGAGGCCCACACCAGCGGAGAAGGUGCUGUUGACUCACUCUCACAACUACCAGUCUUUGUGUUAUCAGGGCCACAAUAAAACACUGCCUUUAAAAAUUCAG